CUACGGAGGGGGCUAGCGUUGUACGGAAUUACUGGGCGUAAAGCGCACGUAGGCGGUGUAGCAAGUUAGGGGUGAAAGGCCUGGGCUCAACCUGGGAACUGCCUCUGAUACUGUUACACUAGAGUCCGGGAGAGGGUAGCGGAAUUCCAAGUGUAGAGGUGAAAUUCGUAGAUAUUUGGAAGAACACCGGUGGCGAAGGCGGCUACCUGGACCGGCACUGACGCUGAGGUGCGAAAGCGUGGGGAGCGAACAGGAUUAGAAACCCCAGUAGUCC
rnacentral:rRNA from 1 species